rnacentral:lncRNA from 1 species
GCAUCCACUCUAAACCUAGAGACAGAACAGAGGCUGCAGGCAUGGAGGAACAGCUAAGGCACUUGCUGCUCUUACACCGGAACCGGAACCGGAACCGGAACCGGAACCAGUUCCCAGCACUCAUAUCAGGUGGGCCACAAAAACCUCUAAGCCUUGCUCUAGGGAAUCUGACACCCUCCUUUAAGCCUUUUCAGGUACCUUCACACGGACAGGCACAGAAGAGAGAGUGACAGAGAGAGAGAGAGAGAGAGAGAGAGAAGAGAGAGAGAGAGAGAGAGAGAGAGAGAGAGAGAAACAGACAGAUUCAGAAGAAUAGAGAAAAUGAUAAUAAUAAUAAUAAUAAUAAUAAUAAUAAUAAUAAUAAUAAUAAGGAGGGACUGGAGCGAUGACUCAGUAGGUAAGAGCAUAGCACCCACAUGACAGUUGUCUAUGUAACUCAAGCUCCAGUGAAUUUGACACCCUCGCACAGGCACAGAGUGCAGGCAAAACACCAAUGCAUAUAAAAUAAAUAAUAAAAUAAAUAAUUUCAAUACAAUUAUAGUGUAAAAUGUAAUACAUAAAAACAUGGGCUUGGAAAUCAGAGAUGUUUGAAGUUAAGCUCUGUUCUAUAAAUUAUUAGCUUUUUUUAAGAAGUUGAUUUUUAAAUUUUCUAAAGUUCCCCAUCUAUAAAAUGACAGUAAUCACCCUUACCUAUAAUCAGGACACAAAAAGCCUUCCACAGACAUCCCCUUUCAUAACUGCUGAGAUUAUGAUUAAUGGGAUUUUUGUUUUUCAUCUCAGAACCACCAGCAAGCAGAAGUUUUCACAGAAGAUGACCAAUCACAUAAUCACCUUAAUGUUUUCCGUUUAUUUCAUUUUUGAAUGAUCGCAUGUACACGUGUGUCUCGUGUGUGUGCAUGUGUGGUAGUCAGAGGACAGUAACUGGUUCUCACUUCUAUGUGAGUCCCAGGGAUUAAACUCAGGUUGUCAAGCUUGGUGACAAGUGCCAACCUGGUGACCCAUCUCACCAGCCCCCAUCAGCCUACUUUCUUGAGUCAAAUUAUUAUUCCGACUCGAGAGAAGUACUGAACCGAAAGAGCUAUUGUUUAGUUGUAUGUGUGAGAAUGUCUCCAACUUCUUUUUUUCCAAUGAAUCCUUCCAGGGCUGAGAGGCUAUCCCAGUGGUAGAGUGUUUGCUUACCAUAUAGAAGACCCUGUGUUCACCUCCAACACAACAAAAAAUAAAUACACCAUCCUGGCCAAAGAUCUAUAUAGAGUUCAAUGGCCUUUUAUAGGUAAAGUAGCUAUGUAGCGAUGUCUACCUAACUCAUGUAGUGAUAUAAUGGGUUCUCAGAACCAUGGAAAUAGUAUUUGAUAUCAUUCAUCUCAUUUAGCUAAUGGAUUUAAUAUUAUGGGCAAGGAAAGAUCCAAGAUUCUGAGUUCUCCCUGGAAUUCUGAGUUUUCCCCUCAAACUUUAUUUCUGUGUCUGCCACUUGGGACUAGGUUUCUCUUUUAGGUAAGUCUAUGUCGAAAUACACAUGGAGAGCGCUUACCCAGUGCUAAGUAUGUGCUGGGCGUUGUAUCUUACAUGGAUUCGCUUCACUAACUCCCAUUAUAACUCCAAUGAUGUUGGAUGCUGUGUCCCAAGGAGACAAGGUAAUUUGUUCUUACCAACAAACCAACAAACCAUCUUGCUGGCCAAAGAAACUACAUUUUGCAAGCUUUUGUUGUUGUUGUUGCAAAUUUAUAGGUCUUUCCAUAAUUUGGUCUCACAUAAUCUGUGAUUUAAUCUCAUUUCUUCAUAUUUCCUAACACAAGUUCUAAAGAGAUCCCUUUCUUUACAUUCUAUUUUUCAAUGACUGCACUUAUUUGUUUUGUUUUGUUUUGAGACAGGGUUUCUCUGUAUAGCCCUGGCUGUCCUGGAACUCACUUUGUAGACCAGGCUGGCCUCAAACUCAGAAAUCUGCCUGCCUCUGCCUUCCGAGUGCUGGGAUCAAAGGCGUGCGCCACCACGCCCGACUCAAUGACUGCACUUUAAUCUACAAUCUAUUCCACAGUUUAGCUUAUAUUACCUAGUGAGUAUUAUUAAUACCAUAUUGAAUUUAUUGGUCUGAUCUUAUUUUACAGGCCAGAGAGCUCACUAAGUUACUCAAAAACAUACACAAUUUGUAAGUAGCGAAGAUAGGAUUUGAACACAGAAAUCAAAUCUUUUCAAAUUAACUUCAAACUACCGUUCUUUUGGCGUUAUGUUCUCAUACAGGUCCUGAAAAGCCACCCUUAUUUUCAUCAUUACCAUUUUCUAACCUGCAGCUGAAGAAAUCCCAAUCCAAAAAGCUAUUUGAAGCCAUUUGCUUUGUCUUUCAAUGCCUCACACAUGUCAUAUGAGUUCCAUGAGAGAAGCAACGACGGACAACCCUGGCUUCCCAAGCCCUGAAGAACUUGCUGCCCACACGCACUUCAAUAAAUAAACAUACAGCUAUACAGACAUUCGGGAACAGUAUUUGGGAAGAUUUGCUCCAAUAAUAGCAAUAUAUUUUAAAUACAGAAGACGUGGAACACAGUGAUUCCCUAUGAAUGCAAAUGUGCAGCGCAUCAUUAAUUACAAAGCUGAGCUUC